UGUCCCGUUCGUUGACGCGAGCAGAGUGUGCGCGGAGUGGUCGCUGUGGGUUCCCCGAAGGAAAAAAAAAGAAAAAGAAGUGGCGCCCACUGUUGCGGUGACUCCCCGGUAUUGCGCUGAUUUCGACCGUGAUUUCAAAGAGCGUGUUGAAUUGAAAGCAACGACAAGCAUCUGUAGACUCCACGGCUCCGUCGGACUUUGGUGCACCACGUUGCGUGGGGACUGCCAAGUUCGAAAACAGAGGGGUGCACUCUGCGUGCAGUGAAAACUGUGUUGAUUUUGACAAAUCGAAAGUGUAGCAAAACUUGUCGCCCGUGUUCUCUGUUCUUGUGACUUAUAAUUGUGAGGCGUUGUCUCAGAACUUUCUCUCGGAUAUAGUUCCUUGUGAGUUUGACGAUCCGUUCAUUCUUGGCGAAUUCGAAGUGACACGUGGUUUGAACUCUGUGCUACAAAGAAAUGAGUGGCGCAGCCGUCCUCUGCUAGCCCGUGAUUUGUGAAACACACCAGGUGCGCUUUCUUGCGGACGUUCGAUGCCGCUGAGCAACUUUCCAUUUCGCCACCAUGGCGUGCGUCGGACACACCACACCAGACUCGACCAACCAAUCGAUGCGGUCGUUUAUGUCAGCGUUGUGUUCGUGCUAUUCGCGGCCAUCAUCCUCCUACUGGUGGCAACCACUUGCCGUCGCUUCCAGCCGGGCGGUUUAUCCAGCCCGCCAGAAGAGCCACCAGAAAAUAACAGUGAACCACGGACAACGAUAGUCAGGCUGAAGGACCACAGCACCCGUGUGUGCACCGAGACGCUGCCGACGAGAAACACUGUGUAAAAAGGGCAGCAAUAACGUCCUCGACGUGGCGUGCAGUAUCGACGUCGCUAUUAUUACCAUUUACGGGGAUGACCGGCCCACCACAGGACUUCAAGACUACUCUUGUGGACAGGACCUACCUGUUGAGUAUAGUGCCUUGUGGAACGAAGAAAAGUUUCUUUUAAUUCAGUACACGAGAACGAAGAAUUGAACUGUAGGUCAUAUCAUUCAGCGGUGGAUUGCGUAUGCUCACGGAUGUGAUACUGUUCCCCAUGUGGCACUGCUGCGUUUCUCACUGAAAAUCUCUGCUGUUUACUUCUUCAGUAUGCUGCUCGCAGUAUUGUCUGAAUACUGAACUUCCACUUAUACAUAUCUCAAUGCCCAGAAAAUCUGAUAUAAAAGGUGUCAAUCGGUUACAGCUUAAUAUGUAGUAACAGUUACCAGAAGAUGUAGCUGUGUGAGGAGUGAGGAAAAUAAGGCUUGUAUGAUUUUCAGUUUUCUCUUAGUAGGAUGCUGGCGCAACAUAGCCACAGCUGCUUUCUCGCCAUGAAAAACCAAAUGAACUAACUAACAUAGUGGGGUAAUACUGUUCGCCUCGCAUUUAAAAAAAAAAAGUAUGGAACGUGAAUAUCUGCAUAGACGACAAUGUCGACAACGAGACUGUCCUUCAGUAAAUAGCAAAUCGACUUAUAUGGAACAAUAAAGGUGCGCGAGACACCACCUAAUGCAACCAACGUACAAUAAAGCGAAGGAAGGCAUAGGGAACAUAAUUUAUAGUUUCUGACAAUACCGCGGUAACUAUAGAAAAUGGAAAGAAAUUAAAGCAGGCGUCAAAACAACUUGCGUCGGUAGGGACCGCACCUACAACCUUCGGAUCAAGUUUACGGGAAUGUUGAAUUAUGGCAUUAAUGUACGGAACACUCUAUACUGAAAUUAAGUGUGAUGUUGGUACAGGCCCGGUUGUUUCCAGGGCAGAUAACUGGGCAGGUGGAUGUCGCGAGUAAAGGCAGCUGCGUGAGCUUGCUGUAAAUCGAUAGCUCAGUUUAUCCCAUUUGUAAAAUCCUGACGCCCGGUAUAUCAACUAUCGAACAGUUAGAAACUAGUACAUCAGUUGGUUGACAUGGAUGAGUCUGCUCAAUGUGAAAGGGUGUUGAUCUCGCCACUUCUGAAUCGAAUCAGCUACAAAUCAGCUAAUAUCAACAAUUCCUCGAGUGCAUAUAUGUCUACAACACAUAAAUCGCAGAAAAAUUCAACAUAAAGGAAAGACAAAAUAGUAUUUCACUUAUUUUGCUAAGUUAUCAAGGACACCACAAAAUGUGCAACUCUGGCAACGACAAUUUUUUAGUAAGCCAUGAAGAAGCAAUAAUACAAAUCUUAGCGUCGAGCUAAAGUUCCAGCACUAACUUGCCGUGAUGUUAUUGAUUUUGACAGGGUCUGCAAGGGCCUGCAUAAUUCUUGAUCAGUAAAAGAGUUUUUAUAUUCUGUUAUUGCGUCAGAAUCUUCGCAUGGUAAGAAUAAAAAAAAAAUUUGAGCCAAUACGCUGAAAGUACUAAAAACAAAACAUUGAAAUGUUAAAGACGACUUCUAGUUUAGAUGCUGGUAUUAGUAAUAGGAGGCUUAAGGUUAGGGAAUAUGCUUAUUUUUUAGUCCAUAAGUAAGUAAGAUGAAUGGCAAUCUACCACUAUCCCUCAAGAGGAAGGUAUAUAACAGCUGCAUCUUACCGGUACUUACCUACGGAGCAGAAACCUGGAGACUUACAAAGAGGGUUAAACUUAAAUUGAGGACGACGCAGCGAGCGAUGGAAAGGAAAAUGAUAGGUGUAACCUUAAGAGACAGGAAGAGAGCAGAGUGGGUCAGGGAACAAACGGGGGUUAAAGACAUCAUAGUUGAAAUGAAGAAGAAAUGGAUAUGGGCCGGGCACGUAGCACGUAGGCAGGAUAACCGGUGGUCAUUAAGGGUAACUGACUGAAUUCCAAGAGAUGGCAGACGCGUGAGGGGGAGGCAGAAAAUUAGGUGGGUAGGUGAGAUUAAGAAGUUUGUAGGUAUAACGUGGCAGCAGAAAGCACAGGACCGGGUUGAUUGGCGGAACAUGGGAGAGGCCUUUGCCCUGAAGUGGGCGUAGACAGGGUGAUGGUGAAGUAAGACUCAGCCGUUGAGCUGGCAUUUUCAUGGAAAAAUUUACGGUUAUACUUUCACGCUUUCUUUUCAUUCACUUUAAGAAUGAACGCACGGUGGCGCAAUUAAUGAAAAGCUGGUUCCUCGGGAAUCGUUUAUAGGCGUAAGAAAAUUUAAUGUUUCAGCACAGUGUCCCGUAAAGUAUAGCAGAACAUUUUUCAGCUCAGUGAACACUGUGCGAACAUAUGUUUAUUUGUUAACAAGCUUUGUUCUGAACGUCAUAAUGUAGUAUUGAUAGAAGCUAAAUUCCAGUGAUUGCUACACAACAAAUUCAAAGUGCUUGAGCCACAAGCAGGACAAUACUACUGCAGACAGCCAACAGAAAUUAAUAUUUAUCAAAAUUCUGAACCCAGGUGUAACAUUAUGAGCAAGUGGGAACGCCUGCAUCUCCCCAUCUUCACAUAUCCACGCACUGCGAAUUCAACGGUCCAACCUCAUUGCUACUUUCUAAGGAGUUCGCUUCCGACCAUGCCCACUGCGCAUAAGUUUGAUCAUCGGAAAUUUUGAGAAUUUAAUAUGUUAGGUCUAUAUUCUGGGUAUGUUCCGAUUCUAGCCAGCAUCGUAGACAGUCUAAGCUGACAGUUUAGGAGACAGCAUCAAGCCCUAGUCGUUCGCGUAAUGGAACGCGCCUGCAUGACGUCUGUGCGAUAUGACGCUACCUGACGUCCUCAAGAGAAUGCUGAUAAACAAACACAAUUGUUACUUUUUGACUUAUUUCGCGUUUGAUUCUAUGAAAAACUGAACGCAGCUUUCACUAAGUCCGCAGUAGAGCGUCUACUUAUGGGCAUACGAGGAUGCAGGUAAGAUCCAACCAUUCUGCUCAGCGACCAUCUUUAUUGCACAGCAAAGUAGGCUGCAGCGUAUCUGUCUCUACUGCCGCCUUCGCGAACCUGUCUAUUUUGGUGGCGACGUGGGAAUUGUAAUGAGGCUUAACAUGGCCGCUGUCCGCUCAGCUCGUUAUUUUACCGUGUGAAGCGAGUAUUGGAACACAUGCGCUUAAUGUAAAAAACGGCUCGGACGGCUUAAUGUGAAAAAACGGCGCGGACAAUAGAUUGUGUGGUCUGUACACUUAAUUCCCAAGCUAAUCGUCAUGAACUAAUCGUCAUGUCUGUUUUAGGAUAUUUAUGGUUGUGUGCCUGUCAGAGCAAUUUCACUGUGCAUGGAUGAAAAUGUCCGAAUAUGUUCCUCUCCUGGUUUUCUGAAUGAAACUUGU